rnacentral:rRNA from 1 species
GAUGAACGCUGGCGGCGUGCCUAAUACAUGCAAGUCGAGCGAACAGACGAGGAGCUUGCUCCUCUGUCGUUAGCGGCGGACGGGUGAGUAACACGUGGAUAACCUACCUAUAAGACUGGGAUAACUUCGGGAAACCGGAGCUAAUACCGGAUAAUAUAUUGAACCGCAUGGUUCAAUAGUGAAAGACGGUUUUGCUGUCACUUAUAGAUGGAUCCGCGCCGCAUUAGCUAGUUGGUAAGGUAACGGCUUACCAAGGCAACGAUGCGUAGCCGACCUGAGAGGGUGACCGGCCACACUGGAACUGAGACACGGUCCAGACUCCUACGGGAGGCAGCAGUAGGGAAUCUUCCGCAAUGGGCGAAAGCUUGACGGAGCAACGCCGCGUGAGUGAUGAAGGUCUUCGGAUCGUAAAACUCUGUUAUUAGGGAAGAACAAAUGUGUAAGUAACUAUGCACGUCUUGACGGUACCUAAUCAGAAAGCCACGGCUAACUACGUG